GUUCACUGAUAUGAAAAUACUUUUAUUUCACUAAUAAACAUGGUGCUGUUCAAUCGAACUUCCAUCGCAAUGUGAGAACCAAGAAGAAACUACAUCGCAGCAUGAGAUCUGCGAUUUUAUCCACAACGCUCUCCUCUGGCGGCAAUGUCGUUGUUGCUGCCUUCGAAGGAGCGCUCUUCUUUGAUUAGGUUUAUUGGCUUCGAUUUGAGGGUUCGAUGCACCAUCACUCAUCUCCUCCUCACCACAAGUAUAAUCUGAGAUCGUAUAUUGGAGGGAGAAGGAAAGGAGAACGAGAGUGAGUUCCUCUGAAACCCUAAAUCUUAUCGCCGCCAUGGUCACCACCAUUCAUCUCAUGUCUGCCGCUUCCAUCAACCUUCUGCAUUCGAGUGAAGGCGCCUCCUCUAUCGACGCGUUUCCAAAUCUUGUCACUAUGCCAUAGCUUAUGAGAUUGAGCAAAGCACCUCUUUCAUUAAUGUGUCUCCUCCGCCAGUGGUGUCGAAAGAAAUAAAAGAUUCAGAAUAUCUUCCACAUUGGAUAUGCUGAUAAGGUAUUGAAAUUGGAAUUAAUUAAUUCCUAUCAUAGAUAAAUUUUUAAUCAGUUACGUCUUUCAAUUCUUCUAUAUCCAGAUAUUUUGGAAUUAAAGCUUUGGCAGAAAAUAAAGGCAUGUAGGUAAGGAUACUGAAUGAAAAUUUUCUAAAUUUAGGAAAUUCAAUGAAAUUAAAAAGAAAGAAAAAAAUGAAUUACAACAUGAGAGUUAGUAAUGGAACGAAGAAGUUGCAGCUUCUCGUGCAUUAGUGUUGCUCUCUUUUACUCUCUAGAAGCCAUGGGAAGAGUGUGUUGUUUCUGUUUCUUGUGUUUUGCUAUAUAUAUCA